rnacentral:rRNA from 1 species
CCAAUAGCGUAUAUUAAAGUUGUUGCAGUUAAAAAGCUCGUAGUUGAAUUUCGGAGUUUGUCGGUUGGUCGGGCUUCACUGUCCGCACUGGCCUGAUGGAUUCCUACCUUCUGAAUAACCAGCAUGCUAUUAAGUUAGUGCGUUGGGGAAGCAGAGCUAUUACCUUGAAAAAAUUAGAGUGCUUAAAGCAGGCUUUUGCUUGAAUAGAUUAGCAUGGAAUAAUAAAAUAGGACGGCAUGGUUCUAUUUUGUUGGUUUCUAGGAUCACCGUAAUGAUUAAUAGGGAUAGUUGGGGGCAUUAGUAUUCAAUUGUCAGAGGUGAAAUUCUUGGAUUUAUUGAGGACUAACUUCUGCGAAAGCAUUUGCCAAGGAUGUUUUCAUUAAUCAAGAACGAAAGUUAGGGGAUCGAAGACGAUCAGAUACCGUCGUAGUCUUAACCAUAAACUAUGCCGACUAGGGAUCGGACGAUGCUAAUUUUUUAAUGACUCGUUCGGCGCCUUACG